rnacentral:rRNA from 1 species
GACGAACGCUGGCGGCGUGCCUAAUACAUGCAAGUCGAGCGAUGAUUAAAGAUAGCUUGCUAUUUUAUGAAGAGCGGCGAACGGGUGAGUAACGCGUGGGAAAUCUGCCGAGUAGCGGGGGACAACGUUUGGAAACGAACGCUAAUACCGCAUAACAAUGAGAAUCGCAUGAUUCUUAUUUGAAAGAAGCAAUUGCUUCACUACUUGAUGAUUCCGCGUUGUAUUAGCUAGUUGGUAGUGUAAAGGACUACCAAGGCGAUGAUACAUAGCCGACCUGAGAGGGUGAUCGGCCACACUGGGACUGAGACACGGCCCAGACUCCUACGGGAGGCAGCAGUAGGGAAUCUUCGGCAAUGGGGGCAACCCUGACCGAGCAACGCCGCGUGAGUGAAGAAGGUUUUCGGAUCGUAAAACUCUGUUGUUAGAGAAGAACGUUAAGUAGAGUGGAAAAUUACUUAAGUGACGGUAUCUAACCAGAAAGGGACGGCUAACUACGUGCCAGCAGCCGCCGUAA